UUCCGGUUGAUCCUGCCGGAGGUCACUGCUAUCGGGGUUCGAUUAAGCCAUGCGAGUCGAGAGGGUUCAGACCCUCGGCGGACUGCUCAGUAACACGUGGAUAAUCUGCCCUAUGGUGGAGGAUAACCCCGGGAAACUGGGGAUAAUACUCCAUAAGUCAGGAGUACUGGAAUGUCUCCUAACUGAAAGUUUCGGCGCCAUAGGAUGAAUCUGCGGCCGAUUAGGUAGUUGUUGGGGUAACGGCCCAACAAGCCCGUAAUCGGUACGGGUUGUGGGAGCAAGAGCCCGGAGAUGGAAUCUGAGACACGAUUCCAGGCCCUACGGGGCGCAGCAGGCGCGAAAACUUUACAAUGCAGGAAACUGUGAUAAGGGAACCCCGAGUGCCCGUACACGCGGGCUGUCCCGGUGUUUAAAACACAUCGGAAGAAAGGGCCGGGCAAGACCGGUGCCAGCCGCCGCGGUAAUACCGGCGGCUCGAGUGGUGACCACUUUUAUUGGGCUUAAAGCGUUCGUAGCUUGAUUUUUAAGUCUCUUGGGAAAUCUCACGGCUUAACUGUGAGGCGUCUAAGAGAUACUGGGAAUCUAGGGACCGGGAGAGGUAAGAGGUACUUCAGGGGUAGAAGUGAAAUUCUGUAAUCCUUGAGGGACCACCGAUGGCGAAGGCAUCUUACCAGAACGGCUUCGACAGUGAGGAACGAAAGCUGGGGGAGCGAACGGGAUUAGAUACCCCGGUAGUCCCAGCCGUAAACUAUGCGCGUUAGGUGUGCCUGUAACUACGAGUUACCGGGGUGCCGAAGUGAAAACGUGAAACGUGCCGCCUGGGAAGUACGGUCGCAAGGCUGAAACUUAAAGGAAUUGGCGGGGGAGCACCACAACGGGUGGAGCCUGCGGUUUAAUUGGAGUCAACGCCGGA
rnacentral:rRNA from 1 species